AUGUCCCAUUGGAUCCCGUAGGUGACCCCAAUGUCCCAUUGAUGUCCCUAUGGGCCCCAUUGGGGUCUUCAUGUCCCUUUGGGGUCCCCCAUGUCCCAUUGAUGUCCCCAUGUCCCAUUAGGGUCCUCCAUGUCCCAUUGGGGUCUCCACGCCCCAUUGGGGUCUUCCACGUCCCCAUAUGUCCCCAUGGGUCCCCACUGAGUUCCUCCAUGUCCCAUUGGGAUCUUCACGUCCCAUUAGGGACACUGGGUCCCAUUGGGUCCCAUUAGGGUCUCCAUGUCCCAUUGGUGUCCUCAUACCCCAUUGGGGUCCUCCACAUCCCCAUAUGUCCCCGUGGGUCCCCAUUGAGUUCUUCCAUGCUCCCAUGGAUCCCAUUGGGGUCCCCAUGUCCUAUUGGGGUCCCCAUGGAUCCCAUUGGGGUCCUCCAUCUCCCACUGAUGUCUCCAUGGGUCCCAUUGUGUUCCCCAUGUCCCGUUGGGGUCCUCCAUGUCCCGUUGGGUCCCCAUGGUGUCCCCAUAUCCCACUGGGGUCUCCACAUCCCCAUAUGUCCCCAUGGAUCCCAUUGGGGUCUCCAUGUCCCACUGAUGUCCCCAUGGGUCCCACUGAGGUCCUCCACGUCCCCAUGUCAUCAAUCACUCUUUUAUUGAACACCUCCUACAAAAAGCCCCCCAAAGACCCCCAUAAUCCCCCCCAUCCCUCCCAUAUCCCCCCCAUAACCCCCCCAGCCCCCCAACUCACUCCCACUGAGCGAUGGCCGCCAUCAUGGCCACCCCGGCCAGCAGCGCGGCCAGCUGCAGCAGGGACUGCAUGGGGACGUCCCAUUGGGGUCCUCCGUGUCCCAUUGGGGUCUUCAUGUCCCACUGACGUCCCCAUGGAUCCCAUUGGGGUCCCUCAUGUCCCACUGAUGUCCCCAUGGGUCCCACUGAGGUCCUCCACGUUCCCACGUCAUCGAUCACUCUUUUAUUGAACACCUCCUACAAAAAGCCCCCCAAAGACCCCCAUAAUCCCCACAUCCCUCCCAUAUCCCCCCAAAGACCCCCCCAGCCCCCC
rnacentral:lncRNA from 1 species